GAUGAACGCUGGCGGCGUGCCUAACACAUGCAAGUCGAGCGGAGAAUUGUUGCUUGCAACAAUUCUUAGCGGCGGACGGGUGAGUAACACGUGGGUAACCCGCCCUAAACAAAGGGAUAACAAUGAGAAAUCAUUGCUAAUACCGUAUAAGCUUACACUAUCGCAUGAUAGAGUAAGAAAAGAUUUAUCGGUUUAGGAGGGGCCCGCGUCUUAUUCACUAGUUGGAGAGGUAACGGCGCACCAAGGCGACGAGCAGUAGCCGACCUGAGAGGGCGAUCGGCCACAUGGGUACUGAGACACGGCCGAACCUCCUACGGGAGGCAGCAGUGGGGAAUAGUGCACAAUGGAGGAAACUGUGAUGCAGCAGCGCCGCGUGAAGUAAGAAGGUUUUCGGAUCGUAAACUUCUAUCUACAGGGAAGAAAAAAAUGACGGUACCUGAGUAAGAAGCCCCGGCUAACUACGUG
rnacentral:rRNA from 1 species